AUUGAACGCUGGCGGCAUGCUUUACACAUGCAAGUCGAACGGUAACAGGCCUUCGGGCGCUGACAAGUGGCGAACGGGUGAGUAAUGCAUCGGAACGUGCCCAGUCGUGGGGGAUAACUAUCAGAAAGGAUAGCUAAUACCGCAUACGAUCUAAGGAUGAAAGCGGGGGAACGUAAGGCCUCGCGCGAUUGGAGAGGCCGAUGUCAGAUUAGGUAGUUGGUGGGGUAAAGGCUCACCAAGCCAACGAUCUGUAGCUGGUCUGAGAGGACGGACAGCCACACUGGGACUGAGACACGGCCCAGACUCCUACGGGAGGCAGCAGUGGGGAAUAUUGGACAAUGGGGGCAACCCUGAUCCAGCAAUGCCGCGUGUGUGAAGAAGGCCUGCGGGUUGUAAAGCACUUUCGUUGGGGAGGAGGGCUAUUAGGUUAAGAGCUAGAUAGUUGGACGUUACCCAAAGAAGAAGCACCGGCUAACUCCGAGCCAGCCGCCGCGGUAACAC
rnacentral:rRNA from 1 species